rnacentral:rRNA from 1 species
AGUUUGAUCCUGGCUCAGGAUGAACGCUGGCGGUAUGCUUAACACAUGCAAGUCGAACGAUGUGGGGACGUAGCAAUGCUACGUCUGUGCAUAGUGGCGGACGGGUGAGUAACGCGUGAGAAUCUAGCUUCAGGUUCGGGACAACAUUGGGAAACCGAUGCUAAUACCGGAUGUGCCGAGAGGUGAAAGGCUAGCCGCCUGAAGAAGAGCUCGCGUCUGAUUAGCUAGUUGGUGGUGUAAGGGACUACCAAGGCGACGAUCAGUAGCUGGUCUGAGAGGAUGAUCAGCCACACUGGAACUGAGACACGGUCCAGACUCCUACGGGAGGCAGCAGUGGGGAAUUUUCCGCAAUGGGCGAAAGCUGACGGAGCAAUACCGCGUGAGGGAGGAAGGCUCUUGGGUUGUAAACCUCUUUUCUCAAGGAAGAAGUUCUGACGGUACUUGAGGAAUCAGCAUCGGCUAACUCCGUGCGAGCAGCCGCGGUAAUACGGAGGAUGCAAGCGUUAUCCGGAAUGAUUGGGCGUAAAGCGUCCGCAGGUGGGUUGUGUGUGUCUAUUUUCAAAGCAUCAUGCUUAACAUGAUAAAGGCAGUAGAAACUACACGACUAGAGUGCGUUCGGGGCAGAGGGAAUUCUGGUGUAGCGGUGAAAUUCGUAGAGAUCAGGAAGAACACCGGUGGCGAAGCGCUCUCUUAAGCCCCAACUUACACUGAGGGACGAAGCUAGGGGAGCGAUUGGAUUA